rnacentral:rRNA from 1 species
AACGAACGCUGGCGGCAGGCCUAACACAUGCAAGUCGAGCGGCCUUUCGGGGGAGCGGCGGACGGGUGAGUAACGCGUGGGAAUAUGCACUUCUCUACGGCCUAGCCUCGGGAAACUGAGAGUAAUACGGAAUACGCGCUGAGGGGGGAAGGGAUAUCGGGGAAGGAUUAGCGCGCGUGGGAUUUGGUGGUUGGUGGGGUAGUGGCAUACCAAGCCGACGAUCCAUAGCUGGGUUGAGAGGAUGAUCAGCCACGCUGGGACUGAGACACGGCCCAGACUCCUACGGGAGGCAGCAGUGGGGAAUCUUAGACGAUGGAGGCAACCCUGAUCAAGCCAUGCGGCGUGAGUGAUGAUGCCCUUAGUGUUGUAAAGCUCUUUCAGCUGGGAAGAUAAUGACGGUACCGGCAGAAGAAGCCCCGGCUAACUCCGUG